UACGUAGGGUGCGAGCGUUGUCCGGAAUUAUUGGGCGUAAAGAGCUUGUAGGCGGUCUGUCGCGUCUGCUGUGAAAAUCCGGGGCUCAACCCCGGACUUGCAGUGGGUACGGGCAGACUAGAGUGUGGUAGGGGAGACUGGAAUUCCUGGUGUAGCGGUGAAAUGCGCAGAUAUCAGGAGGAACACCGAUGGCGAAGGCAGGCCUCUGGGCCACUACUGACGCUGAGAAGCGAAAGCAUGGGGAGCGAACAGG
rnacentral:rRNA from 1 species